AACAGGAUUAGAUACCCUGGUAGUCCACGCCGUAAACGAUGUCGACUUGGAGGUUGUGCCCUUGAGGCGUGGCUUCCGGAGCUAACGCGUUAAGUCGACCGCCUGGGGAGUACGGCCGCAAGGUUAAAACUCAAAUGAAUUGACGGGGGCCCGCACAAGCGGUGGAGCAUGUGGUUUAAUUCGAUGCAACGCGAAGAACCUUACCUACUCUUGACAUCCAGAGAACUUAGCAGAGAUGCUUUGGUGCCUUCGGGAACUCUGAGACAGGUGCUGCAUGGCUGUCGUCAGCUCGUGUUGUGAAAUGUUGGGUUAAGUCCCGCAACGAGCGCAACCCUUAUCCUUUGUUGCCAGCGGUUAGGCCGGGAACUCAAAGGAGACUGCCAGUGAUAAACUGGAGGAAGGUGGGGAUGACGUCAAGUCAUCAUGGCCCUUACGAGUAGGGCUACACACGUGCUACAAUGGCGCAUACAAAGAGAAGCGACCUCGCGAGAGCAAGCGGACCUCAUAAAGUGCGUCGUAGUCCGGAUUGGAGUCUGCAACUCGACUCCAUGAAGUCGGAAUCGCUAGUAAUCGUGGAUCAGAAUGCCACGGUGAAUACGUUCCCGGGCCUUGUACACACCGCCCGUCACACCAUGGGAGUGGGUUGCAAAAGAAGUAGGUAGCUUAACCUUCGGGAGGGCGCUUACCACUUUGUGAUUCAUGACUGGGGUGAAGUCGUAACAAGGUAACC
rnacentral:rRNA from 1 species